GGCGGAAUAGCUCAGCUGGCCAGAGCAUUCGGUUCAUACCCGACAGGUCGUAGGUUCAAAUCCCACUUCCGCUACCA
rnacentral:tRNA from 1 species